rnacentral:rRNA from 1 species
CCUACGGGUGGCAGCAGUGAGGAAUCUUCGACAAUGGGCGAAAGCCUGAACCAGCAACGCCGCGUGAGUGAAGAAGGCCCUCGGAGCUUAAAACCUCUUUUUUAGAGGAGAAAGGGCGUGAGAGUAAGUGUUCACGUUUGUACGGUAUCUAACCAGAAAGCCAAAGCUAACUACGUGCCAGCAGCCGCGGUAGUACGUAGGGGGCUAGCGUUAUCCGGAUUUAUUGGGCGUAAAGGGAACGCAGGCGGUCUGUUAAGUGUGAUGUGAAAGGUUUCGGCCUAACCGUAGUAGUGCAUUGGAUACUGGGAGACUUGAGUGCAGAAGAGGAAGGCGGAACUCGAUGUGUAGCGGUGAAAUGCUUAGAUAUAACGAAGAACACCGGUUGCGAAGGCAGCCUUCUGGACUGUCACUGACGCUGAGGUUCGAAAGCGUGGGUAUCAAACAGGAUUAGAUACCCUAGUAGUC